GAAGAGAGAGAGCUGGUUAAAACUUUCUCCUGAGGGUUACCCACCUUUUUUCCUGCUAGGGACUGGAAAUCUGUCCCUUCAACCUUUCCCAAUUGAAAAGACUAAUGAAGGGAAAGCUGAGAAAAGACAUUUUGAGUCUCUGUCAGACUUUACCUCAGCUCCUGUUGUCCUGGGUCUGAACUGUGUGGCCAGUGAGCCACACCCAGGAUUCUUUGCAUGUGCAACAGCUGGAAAAGUGUCCUGUAAUGUAAAGAAUACAAGGAUGGGAGUGAAGAGAGUUGAAUUCCAUUACAAGCUCUGUCACAAGCUAGUUAAUGUGACUUUGGUCUCCAUGUCUGAAGAUGUUUCCAGGGAAUGGAAGAUUGUAUUUGUUGCCCUCGGCCCCAGGUCUGAUGCACGAAGGUUGAUUUUCAUGGGGCACUCCAACUGUUGUGAGCACCAGGUGGUGGAGUCAGGGACAAAAUGUGCUUCUACCCACUGGUUCGGAAAAUAAGAAAACAUAAAACAAAAAAUGGAGGAGCUUCUGCUGGCAGAAGUGGGGGGUACCUAUUUCUUCCCUGGGCACAAUAAAAUAGCAUUAUAGAGUUUCUCUCUUCCUUUG
rnacentral:lncRNA from 1 species